AACAACCUCAUAAAGUAGUUGCUAUCAUUACCUCUUGUUUUGCAGAUGGGAAAACAGGCUCAACUAACUUGCCCAAAGGAGCAGAUCCAGGAGGUGAAUGCAAAUUUGUCAGACCACAGAGCCUGUGCACUUAACCACUGGUUUUCCUACCUCUGUGGCAUAGUAGGAACAAAGGAAGGAGCUGUGUGUUACAGGAGACUAAGAAAAGCCAGGGCUAGGGUGGCUCAAGCCCCGCCAGUUUUCCUGCAGCCAUUGAAUCCAGGCCAUAUGUGCCCUCUCAGAAAGGAUGCUGAGUUCAGGAGGCUGUGCAAGCCUCAGCCAAAGCCAGCAGGCAGGAGUGCUUCUCUCAGCUCUUGAAGGAUGAGGAGGUUCAAAGAUAUAAUGUGUGCCAGACCCUGGCACAUGAUAAGUAUUUGAAAAUAGCACACCUUUGGGUCCUAAGGAAGGAGGAGAAGGAUAAACAGACCAAGGGGUUCUGUCUGUAAGAGGCUAUUUACUGCAGAGUUGUUUCUGGACUUUGGGCUAAACGUGUUUGUGCUGAAAAAGAUAGAAGCAUCUUUUUGGGUUUUCAGCCAGGCACCCACAGAUGUGGACAAUAGAGAACUCAGCUCACGUGCCCAAUGGGAAGAAGACAAUUGCUCCCCAAACACAGCUGCCUCCUUUUCAAUUGGACCCAACUUUGCCAGAUAAUGGAAACACAGAAAACAAGGCACGAGAAAAACGAGCUGUUUAUGUUUAAACAUGGCAAUCGAACCUCAACACUGAGCCUUCUUGGAUGGCAUCCGUGUGUCAUCUCGCAGCCUGUGUGGCUGUGGGGCCCAGCCUAUGGAUUUCCAAGACUGUGCUCAGCCCAUCUGUCAGGGAGAGAUGGAUGAUUAAUGACAUCUGUUCCAGAUGUCCUAUCUCCUUGGGGAUGGUGCAUGUGGAAACUCUCUGCCUUCUUUCCACUUUUCUUUUAGCAGCUACUGGAAGUUGCAGACAUUGCUUGGACGUAAAGAAAGAAAUACAGAGCUCUUGCUGAAUGCAGUUUUAGGAGACAAACUCCUGUUUCUGGGAAUAUCUGUGCCUGAAGGCUCUGUGGGCCAAAACUUGUCUAUAGAGCAAACCAUGAUGGUGAUAAUUUAAAGGAUAAAGACAUCAUACCUCUCUACUCACCUAUCUAAUCCAUCUAUCUGUCCAUCCAUUCUUCCAUCCAGCCAUCCAUUUAUCUAGACAUCCAGCCAUCUUUUAUCUAUUAAAAUUAUGUCUACAGAGCAAUUAUUGUAUAUCUGUCACCAAAUAUUAUACAUAUUUCACCUCUAACUUAGGGAGCAGUUAAGAGCUAAGGGGACUCUGGGUUUAGACAGCCUGAGUUAGAAUACUGAAUCU
rnacentral:lncRNA from 1 species